rnacentral:lncRNA from 1 species
UAGAUUAGUUUAGGCAUGAAGGAGUCUAGGCACAGUUCGAAAUAUCUUUUGGUUUUAUUUGAAAACGUGCACUCAUAAAUGGAGAGACAUGAUGAAUGUUCUCCUUUGUGUUAGAACUGAACAGUGCGGGCAGCUGCAAUGAGCUUGGUUAUUACAACUUGACCUGACAUUUGAAUUGAAAAGU